UGGGGAAUAUUGGACAAUGGGCGCAAGCCUGAUCCAGCCAUGCCGCGUGAGUGAUGAAGGCCCUAGGGUUGUAAAGCUCUUUCACCGGUGAAGAUAAUGACGGUAUCCGGAGAAGAAGCCCCGGCUAACUUCGUGCCAGCAGCCGCGGUAAUACGAAGGGGGCUAGCGUUGUUCGGAUUUACUGGGCGUAAAGCGCACGUAGGCGGACUAUUAAGUCAGGGGUGAAAUCCCGGGGCUCAACCCCGGAACUGCCUUUGAUACUGGUAGUCUUGAGUUCGAGAGAGGUGAGUGGAAUUCCGAGUGUAGAGGUGAAAUUCGUAGAUAUUCGGAGGAACACCAGUGGCGAAGGCGGCUCACUGGCUCGAUACUGACGCUGAGGUGCGAAAGCGUGGGGAGCAAACAGG
rnacentral:rRNA from 1 species